AGUGUUGGCUUCGCUGGUGGUUCGCCAGGCACUCCGGUGUCGGGCGAGGCAAGAGGGAACCCGGUGGGAGUCCGGGACUGCCCCGCAGCGGUGAGCGGGAACGACCGCCGUCACACGCACUGGGCCCGACGAACAGGGCCCGGGAAGCGACGGCCAGUAGGUGUCCUCCUUCAGGGAGGGCGGGCCCGCGAGUCCGAAGACCUGCCACCGGUGCGUACGCCGA
rnacentral:ncRNA from 1 species